GACGAACGCUGGCGGCGUGCUUAACACAUGCAAGUCGAACGGAAAGGCCCUGCUUUUGUGGGGUGCUCGAGUGGCGAACGGGUGAGUAACACGUGAGUAACCUGCCCUUGACUUUGGGAUAACUUCAGGAAACUGGGGCUAAUACCGGAUAGGAGCUCCUGCUGCAUGGUGGGGGUUGGAAAGUUUCGGCGGUUGGGGAUGGACUCGCGGCUUAUCAGCUUGUUGGUGGGGUAGUGGCUUACCAAGGCUUUGACGGGUAGCCGGCCUGAGAGGGUGACCGGCCACAUUGGGACUGAGAUACGGCCCAGAAUCCUACGGGAGGCAGCAGUGGGGAAUAUUGCACAAUGGGCGGAAGCCUGAUGCAGAAACGCCGCGUGCGGGAUGACGGCCUUCGGGUUGUAAACAGCUUUCGCCUGUGACGAAGCGUGAGUGACGGUAAUGGGUAAAGAAGCACCGGCUAACUACGUG
rnacentral:rRNA from 1 species